CGGGAAACGACUUUCAAUUCACCUGGUAGCUGGCGAGGUUCUGCUGAGGGCGAGCAGCGUGACAGCGGGUGCAGAGGAGAGGGAGGAGCGCGGGAGCAGCGGCUGCCCGAGUGCGCCUCCAGCUUCCUCGGCUAAGAGCGCGCAGCCCUCUCCAGCAGCUCUCCUCGGGACUGCAGUCCUGACGUCACCUACACCCCCCGCUCCCCCAACCCCAGCGGAGGAGCGGCGCGCAGGGUGGGGUGCAGAGAGCGAGGACGUGUGAGUGUAAGCGGGAGUGAAUGUGUGUGUGUGUGUGUGCACGCGCGUGUGCCCCGCAGGGCCGGGGACGGAUUGGAAGGGCCGCUGGAACCUGAAAGAAGCCUGAAACAGCUCUCUACAAACAGUCGCCAAGGGUUUGCCGUGAACAGCCGGGGGCGCUCGCUUUCAGGUUGGGGCGGGAAUACUAGGGAGGUUGAGUUUGGACGAGGGAAAGGAUUAAGAAAGGCUGGGCGAUGGAAGUGCGGGAGUUGGGUACUCUUUUCCCAAAGUUGGAGGAUGCACAGAACGCUUUUCAAAAAGCUGCGCUAGAGGUUUAGGAGGAACAGGGAGUAGACCUUAUGGGAGAGUUGAUAUUCACGCUCCUGUAGCAGGGGAUCGGGUUGGAGUUGGGAUGUUCUCAGGAUCCUCUUGGCCUCCACUAGUGCUUGCAAUUCCCGAGAGGAAGGAGCCGAGUGAGUCCUUUCAGGAGUCAAACGAGUCCUCUUACCGCUGACUACUGUCAAGUUGCUGCAAAGAAAGCAAAGUGGCUGGCUUUCCGCACCCAGUUUCUCCCGGUGUGAACCUGAGGGAGCGUUUCUGCCAGAAGCUGGACGUAAGCACCCGUAGCCAGCAAAAGGGAUCAAGGCCAAGGCAGGGCUCCAGGUGCGUGAGGCCCCGCCCUUCGGUCCUGGUCUGAGGCCGCGGUGGUGAGAACUCCAGGAAAGAUUCUCUUGAGGUCAUCAGGGUGAGGUCACCAUUUGAGUCUUUGCCGCUCUCCAGGACCUGUGCUCCAAAGGUACUUAUCUACGUAGCCACCCAACUUUCCUCAUUCUCUGAAAUUGUCCUAAGGGCCAAAAAUAAAAGAGACUUUCUGCAGAGGCGCCAAAUGAAGGCGCUUUAGGUGGUGCUGGAGUGGUUAAAGGUUGUUGUUCUUGGAGCGUUUGUGCCUUACCAGCAACCUUGGAGAAGAGUGCUUGGCUCCGUGCACCUGCAGCGCACCCCUCCCGGCUACUGAGUGCCCAGGCUGGAGCUGCUGGCCCUCUGCCUGCCGCACCCUAGCGGGAGAAAAAUGUGCAAUGCGUUGCAGCACAGGCUAAAUCGGCUGCCAGCAGCGAGGCGUCAGGUGCGCUCUGCAGUGACCGCCAGCAUAGCCAGCGAUUUUUUGCCCCUGUUGAGUGACAUUCGUUUUAACUGCAAGCGUCUUCCUUCUUUAAUACAGACACCAUUUAAUCGCCGAGAUGCUCUUAUUCAUUAAAAUAACUUUCUGAAGGGUGGAACUAGGAUGAGGGACAUAAAAGGAAGAAAAUAUUCCCAGUUCAUAAACAAUGUUCUUUAUAACUUGAACUUUCUAAAGUGACCAGAGUAGCAUCAGAUCUGAACAAAACAGCUGAAAGUUUUAUUACAAUCUCAAUUCUCCAGUGGAAGUUUAAUUAAAAAAAAAAAGAAGCAAAUCUGGAAUCCUGGUCUAAACUGUUGUAGAUUUAAUAAUCUUAGGAGUUCCCACAUUUGAAAAUUAGAAUUUUAGCUAAUUGGGCAAAAGUACAGAUACCCUUAACUGUGAUCUGGAUUUCACAAAUAAAUAGUAAUUAAAAUGAGUAAAGGUACACCAUGUUCCUAAAUAGAACA
rnacentral:lncRNA from 1 species